CAACAACAACAACUGCCUUGAGGCUGUGGGCGAAAGUGCUGAUUUGUCUUCCAACACACUGGAAGUAUAAAAGUGGCUAUAAAAAGAACAAGAGAAAUGGCAACAUCUGCUGGAGUAGCCAAAAUUGGGAAGAAGGUAUGGUGAGACACUCAAGCUGGCAGAGUGAAGAAUGCAGGAACCAGAACAGUCAAGGACUGGAGGUCAAGAGAAGAAUGCAUUUGCCAGACCAAUAGCUGCAUAUCAAGUGCCAGAGGAUGUGGUAAAUUGCUCAAGCAAUGAAACCGGUUCUGGUACCGGAGCUGCAAUUGGCAUCACCACCUGGGACUUUGCCAACAAUGUUGAACAGAGUGGUCUAAAGUUAGUCUGUUUAAAAUUAGAACCUGAGCUCAUCUCAAGAAGUAUGCUUACCACUUUAGGGCAAAGCAAACAAUGAUUGUACAUAUUUUUCUUUGGUGGCAAGCAACACCCCUCCAUCUCAGAAGCAUUAAUCCGUCUCCAAGGUGAACCUAGGAAGGUGGUAGAAGCGUAGUUAUUACUGUCGUAAUUUGUUUCCUACAAACAGAAGCCUCCAGGUGGAGAACUGUGAGUAGCUUUUUUCUUCUAGAUUAUUUUUCCCCCCAAGUCCCCAGGGAGCCACCUCAGACAGGGCAGAGUGACCCUUUCUUGUCCCAUCGUGUGGAGAACAGCCCAGGAUCUAUUGGUUGUUGCAGAACGGAGUUUCUCCCCAACGGACAGUUAGACAUUUUGAGAGCAGAGCAUGCCAAUCCUCAAUCAAAAGACACAGAGAAAUCCAAUUAUCCUAUAAAGAAAACAGAAAAUAAAUCACCCCCCUCCUCUUCAGAAGUUGACAGAGGGUUCAUUCUGAUGACACUUUUGAGAUAAAAACAUGGUACUGUUGCUUUUGUGAAUCUGUCUUUUUUAAAAAAUAUUUUGGGGCUCUGAAAAAAAUGUGGCUGUACUUUUGCUCAUAAUCUGAAAAAAAAAAAAAUUAGAAAGCCUCCCAUAAUGCUUAAGAGAUUUUUUAAAAAUGUUUCUGCUUUUACUCCCCAGGCCUCCAAAAAAUCAUAUUUUUCUCAGACUUAUUCUAUGACAACUUUUAUUUUCCGUCUCAUUUCUAACUGAGGAAAAAACAGGAAGUCAUAUUAAAAAAAGAGUUUACUCCCUUGUA
rnacentral:lncRNA from 1 species